UUACAGAAAGAAAUAUCUAUCUAUAACAAAACAAUUAAUUUGUGAAGCAUGGCUACAACUUAGUCACCGAUACUCAAAUUUUUACCUUCAAGCUACCAUAACUCCACGACUGAAGUCACAGUUCACCUUUUCAGCCUUCCAAGGUGCAGUCAUCAGCAUUCUCACAGCACUUCUAGCAUUGCCAUGAGUUUUCAAAGACCUCCAAGCUGAAGUGUGGACAUAACAGCACUAAAACACAGAAGAUCUAUCCAGAAAAAGAGGCCAGAGUGCCAAAGGUAUUCGGUAGAUUUAAUGGUUGUGAACCGAUUUGUUCUUAAAUAUGAACAAUUCAGCAGAAUCUUAUGAGAGUGACCUAGUUUUUCUCUGUCUAGCCAGAAAAGAGGCAGUGGGAGUGAAGGAUUCACUGCAUCCCGUUUGCCAUUUAAGACUAGGUGUUUGUUUGAUAUAAUCGUCUGCAACCAGCAGAGAGGGACAGGAGUUCAUGG